rnacentral:rRNA from 1 species
UGCAAGUCGAGCGGACGGAUGGGAGCUUGCUCCCUGAAGUCAGCGGCGGACGGGUGAGUAACACGUGGGCAACCUGCCUGUAAGACUGGGAUAACUUCGGGAAACCGGAGCUAAUACCGGAUAAUGCAUAACCUCUCAUGAGGCUAUGCUGAAAGAUGGUUUCGGCUAUCACUUACAGAUGGGCCCGCGGCGCAUUAGCUAGUUGGUGAGGUAACGGCUCACCAAGGCAACGAUGCGUAGCCGACCUGAGAGGGUGAUCGGCCACACUGGGACUGAGACACGGCCCAGACUCCUACGGGAGGCAGCAGUAGGGAAUCUUCCGCAAUGGACGAAAGUCUGACGGAGCAACGCCGCGUGAGUGAUGAAGGUUUUCGGAUCGUAAAACUCUGUUGUUAGGGAAGAACAAGUGCCGGAGUAACUGCCGGCACCUUGACGGUACCUAACCAGAAAGCCACGGCUAACUACGUGCCAGCAGCCGCGGUAAUACGUAGGUGGCAAGCGUUGUCCGGAAUUAUUGGGCGUAAAGCGCGCGCAGGCGGUCUCUUAAGUCUGAUGUGAAAGCCCACGGCUCAACCGUGGAGGGUCAUUGGAAACUGGGGGACUUGAGUGCAGAAGAGGAAAGUGGAAUUCCACGUGUAGCGGUGAAAUGCGUAGAGAUGUGGAGGAACACCAGUGGCGAAGGCGACUUUCUGGUCUGUAACUGACGCUGAGGCGCGAAAGCGUGG